rnacentral:rRNA from 1 species
UGCCAGCCGCCGCGGUAACACGUAAGGUGCGAGCGUUGUUCGGAAUUAUUGGGCGUAAAGGGCUCGUAGGCGGCCUGCCAAGUCCCACGUGAAAGACCUGGGCUCAACCCUGGGAACGCGAGGGAAACUGGUAAGCUGGAAUCUUGGAGGGGGUACCGGAAUUCCUGGUGUAGGGGUGAAAUCUGUUGAUAUCGGGAAGAACACCGGAGGCGAAGGCGAGUACCUGGCCAAAGAUUGACGCUGAUGAGCGAAAGCGUAGGGAGCGAACAGGAUUAGAUA